UUGAUGAACGUCAUCAAUGAGUAAGCUCCUGAAAUACAAACCUCUGGGUGAGAACAUAAAUAAUCACAAUUGUAUGCCUUAGUAUCAACGUUGGUCAAAAUUAAAACAUACAACUGUUUAUGCAAUAAAACUAUAUCACCGUUGGGCAGAAAUAGAAUUAAUGCAUAAUAAUCUUUUAAUUACAUCAUAAUAAUGCCAUUAAUCAACGUUGGUCAGAAUAAUAACAAUAUUAUAAUAAUCUGGAAAACAUAUCUAUUUUCAAAAUUAAAUUCUCCCGUUGGUUCGAAUUUAAUAGUGAAACAAGUAUCUGUAAAUACGCAGCGGAAUCUUUAAUAAUUUCUUUAUCUAUUUUCUAGAAACAUCUGAAUACUUUACUAUUCUCUGAAUAAAAUUAUCGUUGGACCAAAAUUAUACAGAGAAAAGUAAUAAAAUCUAUGCAAAAUUUAAUUAAAUAUGCAUAAAACUGCUUCUGGAAAAAGAAAAAAGGAAAAACUGUGUGAUUUCUUGUGUGGAUGGCCAUUUCGGCCUGGGCAAACUCGCGGCCCACGCGGCUGCUCGCGCGCGCGGCCCGGUAGCAGCUGGCGCACGCGCGGCCCAGCGAGCCCAGCAGCGCGUUUUUUUUGAUUCUGUGUUUCGGCCCAGUGGGAAAAAUCGGCCCACUACCGAGCUGUGCGCAGCGCUGCCCCGCGCCCAGGCCGCAACCUGGGCCUGGGCCGGCAAAGUCGUCCCCCGCCUGGGCCGAUUCUGGCCCAACGCGGUGGCGCCCGAUCUGGACCGUUCAUCUAUAUCCAACGGCUGAGAGCGAAAAUCGGUGGUAUAAAAAAGCCCCCAGCAGCCGGCCCCCUCAAAACCCUAGCUCAUUUCUCCAUUUCCCUUCUCUCUCUAUACUGCGCCGCACUCAGCAGCAGCAGGCCACCGGCGGCGGCGGAUGGCCGCCAUCGGACCAAGUCCGGCCGGUGCUCCCUCCUUCUCUCCCUUCUCUACCGUGCCGCAACCCUCUGUUUCUUUCUCCCCAUCUUCUACUGCUGUAUAGGAGCAGCAACACGGCCGGCAGAGGAGGCCGUGGAUGGAGAAGCCAGCACCGUCGCGGGCCCCUUCGCCGGCGUGCGCGCUCCCCACUGGGUGAACGCACCGCCGUCGAAUGGCCUCGUGUCGGCGCUUUUGUCGCGUGUCCGUUGGUUGGUGACGGUGAGAAGCAGGAAAAAAAAUUCUAGGGUUAGGGUUCUAUGUUCUUGAUCUCGAUCUAGUGUUCUGGAUUCGAAACAAUUUAUUUUCUUUCUUCUGUUCCCGAGAUCUAGAUCUACUAACUAGAUAGGCGACUGAUACCAUUGAUAGACAUAAUCUGUUCAUAGGAUCGACUAGCAGUAGAUCUAGGUGGGUAUGUUCUUUGAUUUGUAAACAACAUAUGCAUAUCCUUAUACAAGAUCUAAUACAAGAACUGUAAAUACAAGGAUUAAAUAGAUCGGGAUUAAUAGGAUUAGACCGUCGACGGUAGGAGCAGCAGGGGCGGCGGAAGACGAUCCCGAGGCCAUCACGUCAGUGGCGGGGUUGAUCUUCGACGACGUCGGUGGUGGCAGUGAUGCGGACGUCGAGACGGCGCAGAUCCGGCGUCGGUGAGUCUUCCCGUCGCUGGCUGCGCUCCCUGGAUCGGUUAGGGUUUCUAGG
rnacentral:lncRNA from 1 species